rnacentral:rRNA from 1 species
UGGGGAAUUUUGCGCAAUGGGGGAAACCCUGACGCAGCAACGCCGCGUGGAGGAUGAAAUCACUUGGGAUGUAAACUCCUUUCGAUCGGGACGAUUAUGACGGUACCGGAAGAAGAAGCCCCGGCUAACUUCGUGCCAGCAGCCGCGGUAAUACGAGGGGGGCAAGCGUUGUUCGGAAUUAUUGGGCGUAAAGGGCGCGUAGGCGGUUUGACAAGUCUGAUGUGAAAUCUAUGGGCUCAACCCAUAGCCUGCAUUAGAAACUGUCGGGCUUGAGUAUGGGAGAGGUGAGUGGAAUUUCCGGUGUAGCGGUGAAAUGCGUAGAUAUCGGAAGGAACACCUGUGGCGAAAGCGGCUCACUGGACCAUAACUGACGCUGAGGCGCGAAAGCUAGGGGAGCAAACA